GAUGAACGCUGGCGGCGUGCCUAGUACAUGCAAGUCGAGCGAAUGGAUUAAGAGCUUGCUCUUAUGAAGUUAGCGGCGGACGGGUGAGUAACACGUGGGUAACCUGCCCAUAAGACUGGGAUAACUCCGGGAAACCGGGGCUAAUACCGGAUAACAUUUUGAACCGCAUGGUUCGAAAUUGAAAGGCGGCUUCGGCUGUCACUUAUGGAUGGACCUGCGUCGCAUUAGCUAGUUGGUGAGGUAACGGCUCACCAAGGCAACGAUGCGUAGCCGACCUGAGAGGGUGAUCGGCCACACUGGGACUGAGACACGGCCCAGACUCCUACGGGAGGCAGCAGUAGGGAAUCUUCCGCAAUGGACGAAAGUCUGACGGAGCAACGCCGCGUGAGUGAUGAAGGCUUUCGGGUCGUAAAACUCUGUUGUUAGGGAAGAACAAGUGCUAGUUGAAUAAGCUGGCACCUUGACGGUACCUAACCAGAAAGCCACGGCUAACUACGUGCCAGCAGCCGCCGUAA
rnacentral:rRNA from 1 species